rnacentral:rRNA from 1 species
GACGAACGCUGGCGGCGUGCCUAAUACAUGCAAGUUGAGCGCUGAAGGUUGGUACUUGUACCAACUGGAUGAGCAGCGAACGGGUGAGUAACGCGUGGGGAAUCUGCCUUUGAGCGGGGGACAACAUUUGGAAACGAAUGCUAAUACCGCAUAAAAACUUUAAACACAAGUUUUAAGUUUGAAAGAUGCAAUUGCAUCACUCAAAGAUGAUCCCGCGUUGUAUUAGCUAGUUGGUGAGGUAAAGGCUCACCAAGGCGAUGAUACAUAGCCGACCUGAGAGGGUGAUCGGCCACAUUGGGACUGAGACACGGCCCACACUCCUACGGGAGGCAGCAGUAGGGAAUCUUCGGCAAUGGACGAAAGUCUGACCGAGCAACGCCGCGUGAGUGAAGAAGGUUUUCGGAUCGUAAAACUCUGUUGGUAGAGAAGAACGUUGGUGAGAGUGGAAAGCUCAUCAAGUGACGGUAACUACACAGAAAGGGACGGCUAACUACGUG